AUGACAUCGGUGGGCACUAACCAAGCCCAGGAAAACUGGGAACAACCUCAAAACCAAAAUCAGACACAGCACAAGCAGCAACCACAGGCCACUGCAGAACAGAUUCAGCCUCCACAGAUGAUUUCAGACCACAAUGACACUGACUUUGAGGAGAAAGUGAAACAAUUGAUUGAUAUCACAGACAAGAACCAGGAUGAGUGUACGAUUGCUUUGCAUGACUGCAAUGGAGAUGUCAACAGAGCAGUCAAUGUUCUUCUGGAAGGAAACCCAGACACUCAUCCUUGGGAGAUGGUCAGGAGGAAGAAAGGGGUCUCAAGACAGAAGGAUGGUGGUCAGGCGGCACCCAGUGAGGAGGGCAAAGAAAAUCGAGACUGGGACAGAGAUGAUAGUCGACGACGUGGUGGGCCACCAAGACGGGGGAGAGGUGCCAGCCGAGGACGAGAGUUCUGGCGUCAGGAAAAUGGAGUGGAUGGCACCAAGAGUGAAGGGCCUUCUGGAAAAGGCACAGAAAGAGGCCAAAGAGGCCAUGGCCGAGGCAGAGGAUGCUCUGGUAGGCGAGGAGGAAGGUUUUCUGCUCAAGGAAUGGGAACUUUUAACCCAGCUGAUUAUGCAAAGCCAGCCAAUACCGGUGCUAACUAUGGCAAGACAUGGAAGAAUACUGGUCACUUUGAACCAGAUGAUGGGACAAGUGCACAGAAGGCUGCAACAGAAGAGUGGGGGACUGAAGAUUGGAAUGAAGAUCUUUCUGAGACCAGGAUCUUCUCUGCCUCUAAGGUGUCUUCAGUGCCUCUGCCUGCAGAGAAUGUGACCGUCACUGCUGGUCAGAGAACUUACCUUGCUGUUCUCCUGGGGAAGACCUCAUCUUCAAUGGAGAAUGAUUCAUCUAAUAUGGAUCCAGCUCAGGCUCUUUCCCUGGCUCAACCUCUGGUAUUCAGUAACUCGAAGCAGGCUGCCAUAUCACGGCCUGCUUCGGGGAGCAUGUUUUCCCAUCAUGGUAGAGUGAGCAUGUCGGGAAAGGGAUUUGGUGAUGUCAGUCUCAAGACUGCUCGGGCCCUGGCUCAGUUGGCAACUCAGCAUUCUCGGUCUGGAAGCUCCACCACCUCCUCUUGGGACACGGUCUCGAGGACACAGUCCCCAUCACUGGUGCACUGUGAUUUGAAGAACCCAAAUGAUUCAGCAGUGCACAGCCCCUUUACAAAAUGCCAGGCUUUCACCCCGUCUUCAACCAUGACGGAGGUGUUCCUUCAGGAGAAGCUUCCUGCAGUGGCUACCUCCACAGCUGCACCUCCACCCGCCUCUUUAACUCUGCCAAGCAAAUCCACCUCAGCUCCACAGAUGUCUUCUGGGUCCUCAGACAACCAGUCCUCCAGCCCUCAGCCUGGUGAGCAGAAACUGAAAAAGCAGAAGAAAAAAGCCUCUUUGACUUCUAAGAUUCCUGCUCUGGCUGUAGAGAUGCCUGGCUUAGCAGAUAUUUCAGGGCUAAAUCUGCAGUUUGGGGCAUUGCAGUUUAGGUCAGAGCCUGUCCUUUCUGAUUACAAGUCCCCCACCACCACGAGCGCCUCUUCAAGCCAGGCUCCAAGCAGCCUAUCUACCAGCACAGCCAGUGAAACUUCAUUUACGAUUUCAUCUAACCAGAGUCAGGAUUCUGGUUAUCAGAUUGGCCCAAUUCAGUCGACAAACUAUACCUCCCAAAACAAUGCUCAGGGCCCUCUAUAUGAACAGAGAUCCACACAGACUCGGCGGUACCCCAGCUCCAUCGCUUCAUCACCCCAAAAGGAUCUGACUCAGAGAGAGAAUGUCUUCAGUUCUAUGCAGGACACACAGUUACAGACUGUUGAAGGUGCUACAGGCUCUUCGGUGCAAUGUGACUCACCUUCCACGUCUAGGAUCUCCACACUCAAUGAAACGGUAUCUGCAGCUUCCCUACUGACAACCACCAAUCAGCACUCUUCCUCCAUGGGUGGCUUGAGCCACAGAGAGGAGAUUCCAAGUACUACCACCACACAAUACAGCAGUACGUUACCUACGCAGCAGAAUACCCUCUUGUCAUCAACAUCUUCUGGGCACAUGUCCACAUCCACUCUCCUGCAUACAAGUGUGGAGAGUGAAGCGACUCUCCAUUCUUCCUCUAGCACUUCCUCUACCACUUCCAGCACAGUCUCUGCACCUCCCCCAGUGGUCAGCAUCUCUUCCAGUCUCAACAGUGGCAGUAGUGUGGGUCUCAGCCUAGGCAGCAACUCUAUUGUCACGGCCUCAACUCGAAGCUCAGUUGCUACAACUUCAGAAAAAGCUCCUCCCAACAUCCCUCCUGGGGUCCCGCCAUUGUUACCUAACCCACAUAUUAUGGCUCCAGGGCUGUUACAUGCCCAUCCGCCACAAGUGUAUGGUUAUGAUGACUUGCAGAUGCUUCAGACAAGGUUUCCAUUGGAUUACUGCAGCAUCCCGUUUCCCACAUCCACCACUCCACUGACUGGGAAGGAUGGUAGCCUAGCCAGCAACCCUUAUUCCAGUGACCUCACAAAGUUUUGCCAUGGGGAUGCAUCCUCCCCAGCUCCAGCCACAACCUUGACCCAGCCCCAACAGAACCAGACACAGACUCAUCACACCAUGCAGCAGACAUUCCUGAACCCAGAGCUGCCUCCUAGAUACAGUUAUACCAGCCUGCCAUACUACACAGGGGUUCCUGGGCUCCCCAGCAUCUUCCAGUAUGGGCCUGCUGUGUUCCCUGUGGCUCCUACCUCUUCCAAGCAGCAUGAUGUGAAUGUCAGUGUGAAUGUAUCAGCCAGCCCUUUCCAACAGCCAAGUGGAUAUGGGUCUCAUGGAUACAACACUGGAAGAAAAUAUCCACCCCCUUCCAAGCAUUUCUAG